rnacentral:tRNA from 1 species
AGUUUCAUGGUGUAAUGGUUAGCACUCAAGACUCUGAAUCAUGCGAUCCGUAUUCAAAUCUCGGUGGAACUU